GCCAGACUCCUACGGGAGGCAGCAGUGGGGGAUAUUGCACAAUGGGGGGAACCCUGAUGCAGCGACGCCGCGUGGGUGAAGGAGCGUUUCGGCGCGUAAAGCCCUAUCGGCAGGGAAGAAGGAGGACGGUACCUGACUAAGAAGCCCCGGCUAACUACGUGCCAGCAGCCGCGGUAAUACGUAGGGGGCAAGCGUUAUCCGGAUUUACUGGGUGUAAAGGGGGCGCAGACGGCAGCGCAAGCCAGGAGUGAAAGCCCGGGGCCCAACCCCGGGACUGCUCUUGGAACUGCGCGGCUGGAGUGCAGGAGGGGCAGGCGGAAUUCCUGGUGUAGCGGUGAAAUGCGUAGAUAUCAGGAGGAACACCGGUGGCGAAGGCGGCCUGCUGGACUGCGACUGACGUUGAGGCCCGAAAGCGUGGGGAGCAAACAGGAUUAGAUACCCUAGUAUA
rnacentral:rRNA from 1 species